rnacentral:lncRNA from 1 species
AUUACCUUCGAUCCGGCCUUCACGCGCCCCUAGCUUCGUAGUGCCGUCAUCGCCCACCUUCUUAAUGUUGCCGCCACCUCCUAGCUUCCUGCCUCCACGGAUCUGCACGCGGAAAGGGCCACCCGCAUUCCCUCCUCCACGGAGCCUGUCGCGGGUGCCUGCAGCCAUAGGGCACAGGGCUGGAUCGACGGGAAGGAGUUCUGGAUUGGGAAGAACGGAAAAUUAGAUGGGAAAGAUAAAUGAGUAUUGC